GGAAGCGUCUGGUUCCUGGUGGUGCCCCCGGUCUUCAAAACCGGUGAAACCGAGUAUCUCGGUUUGGCGGGUUCGAUUCCCGUCCGCUUCCGCCA
rnacentral:tRNA from 2 species